rnacentral:rRNA from 1 species
UACGGAGGGUGCAAGCGUUAAUCGGAAUUACUGGGCGUAAAGCGCACGCAGGCGGUUUGUUAAGUCAGAUGUGAAAUCCCCGGGCUCAACCUGGGAACUGCAUCUGUGACUGGCAAGCUUGAGUCUCGUAGAGGGGGAUGGAAUUCCAGGUGUAGCAGUGAAAUGCGUAGAGAUGUGGAGGAAUACCGAUGGCGAAGGCAGCCCCCUGGACGAAUACUGACGCUCAUGUGCGAAAGCGUGGGGAGCAAACAGG